AGAGCGAACGCUGGCGGCAGGCUUAACACAUGCAAGUCGAGCGCCCCGCAAGGGGAGCGGCAGACGGGAGAGUAACACGUGGGAACGUACCUUUUGGUUCGGAACAACACAGGGAAACUUCGGCUAAUACCGCAUACGCCCGGGGGAAACUCCGGGGAAAGAUUUAUCGCAGCAGGAGGGGCCCGCGUCGGAUUAGGUAGUUGGUGGGGUAACGGCCCACCAAGCCUGUGAUCCGUAGCUGGUCUGAGAGGAUGAUCAGCCACACUGGGACUGAGACACGGCCCAGACUCCUACGGGAGGCAGCAGUGGGGAAUAUUGGACAAUGGGCGCAAGCCUGAUCCAGCCAUGCCGCGUGAGUGAUGAAGGCCCUAGGGUUGUAAAGCUCUUUUGUGCGGGAAGAUAAUGACGGUACGCAAGAAUAAGCCCGGCUAACUUCGUGCCAGCAGCCGC
rnacentral:rRNA from 1 species